rnacentral:rRNA from 1 species
UACGAAGGGGGCUAGCGUUGCUCGGAAUCACUGGGCGUAAAGGGUGCGUAGGCGGGUCUUUUAAGUCAGGGGUGAAAUCCUGGAGCUCAACUCCAGAACUGCCUUUGAUACUGAAGAUCUUGAGUUCGGGAGAGGUGAGUGGAACUGCGAGUGUAGAGGUGAAAUUCGUAGAUAUUCGCAAGAACACCAGUGGCGAAGGCGGCUCACUGGACCGGAACUGACGCUGAGGCGCGAAAGCG